GUGCCCCUGCGCUGAUCGAUUGGCAGCCAAAGUUGCCUGAGCCGAUAUGCGUCGAACGGGAGCCUACCUACGCUGAUUGUGUGCGUCCCCAUGAGCCGGGAUACCUGAUGUCAGAGUGCGGCGCCCACCUCCAUUGGAGGGUUCGACAACUUAUUGCCGAAUCGCCAGUGCGGGGGCGCU
rnacentral:other from 1 species